UACGUAGGUGGCAAGCGUUGUUCGGAAUUAUUGGGCGUAAAGCGUGCGCAGGCGGUCUCCUAAGUCCGAUGUGAAAGCCCCCGGCUUAACCGGGGAGGGCCAUAGGAAACUGGGAGGCUUGAGUAUAGGAGAGAAGAGUGGAAUUCCACGUGUAGCGGUGAAAUGCGUAGAGAUGUGGAGGAACACCAGUGGCGAAGGCGACUCUCUGGUCUGUAACUGACGCUGAGGCGCGAAAGCGUGGGGAGCGAACAGG
rnacentral:misc_RNA from 1 species